AGAGUUUGAUCCUGGCUCAGAACGAACGCUGGCGGCGUGCCUAACACAUGCAAGUCGAGCGAGAACGCCUGCUUCGGCAGGUUAGUAAAGCGGCGAACGGGUGAGUAACACGUGAGUCACCUACCCUCCAGUAGGGGAUAACACUUCGAAAGGUGUGCUAAUACCGUGUACGGUCCCGACCGUGUCUGCGGAUGGGACGAAAGGUGGCCUCUCUAUAGAAGCUGCCGCUGGGGGAUGGGCUCGCGCCCCAUUAGCUAGUUGGUAGGGUAACGGCCUACCAAGGCAACGAUGGGUAGCUGGUCUGAGAGGACGAUCAGCCACACUGGAACUGAGACACGGUCCAGACUCCUACGGGAGGCAGCAGUGGGGAAUAUUGCACAAUGGGGGAAACCCUGAUGCAGCAACGCCGCGUGCGGGAUGAAGGCCUUCGGGUCGUAAACCGCUGUCAGGGGGGAAGAAAUCGCUCCGGUGAAUAGCCGGAGUGGAUGACGGUACCCCCAGAGGAAGCCCCGGCUAACUCCGUGCCAGCAGCCGCGGUAAGACGGAGGGGGCGAGCGUUGUUCGGAAUCAUUGGGCGUAAAGCGCGCGUAGGCGGUCGAGUAAGUCGGACGUGAAAGCCCAGGGCUCAACCUUGGAAGUGCGUUCGAUA
rnacentral:rRNA from 1 species